CUUGCCAGUAGUCAUAUGCUUGUCUCAAAGAUUAAGCCAUGCAUGUCUUAGUAUAAGCACUUGUACUGUUAAACUGCGGAAGGCUCAUUAAAUCAGUAAUAAUCUAUUGUGGUUUAGGCUCUCAGCCUUAUCGGAUAUCUGCGGAAAAUCUGGAGCUAAUACGUCGCCUUUGAGUACAGGUCACCAGUUACGCUGGUGGCUGCACUAGUACACUAAAACCGAGGGUAUUUUACCUUCUCCAGCUGAUCCAAUACUAGUCCCUAAAGCACACGUUUUUAAACUGGUGCGAACCACCAAGAAUUUCUGACCUAUCAACCUGAUGGUAGUGCAGUGGACUACCAUAGUCACAACAGGUAACGGGGAAUUAGGGUUUGAUUCCGGAGAGGACGCCUGAGAGAUGGCGUCUACUUCUAAGGAAGGCAGCAGGCGCGCAAAUUACCCAAUUCUGAUUCAGAGAGGUAGUGACAAGAAAUAACAAUGGGAUUCCCUUAUAAGGAAUCCCAAUUGGAAUGAGAGGGGAGUAAAGCCCCUAGCGAGUAUCAAUUGGAGGGAAAGUCUGGUGCCAGCAGCCGCGGUAAUUCCAGCUCCAGUAGCAUAUACUAAAGUUGUUGCAGUUAAAACGCCCGUAGCCUAUUUUAAACGGGUCCUACUGUCGGUCUGCCAAAUUGGCUGUACUGCUGUGGAAAAACCCAACAAAUAUAGAGAGUCGGCCGCCGUGCCUUUAACUAGGUGCGGUAGUGACAAUCAGUUCACUGUGAAUAAAUCAGAGUGUUCAAAGCGUGUAGGUUAGCAUGAAUGGUUUAGCAUGGGAUGAUAAAAUAAGGAGGGUCCAGAGUUCUCGGCCUUUGGACCUUCAAUGAUUAAUAGGGAUUGACGGGGCCGUCCCUAUUUUGUGGGAAGAGGUGAAAUUCUAUGAUCCACGAAAGAGGACCAAAAGCGAAAGCAGUCUGCCAGGAUGUCUCCAUUGGUCAAGGACGAAAGUUUGGGGAUCGAAGACGAUCAGAUACCGUCGUAGUCCAAACUAUAAACGAUGUCGCCUGAAGUUCAUGCGUCGUUCAUACUGACCCCCAUGGGAAUCUGUAAGAAAUUAUAAGCUUAUGGACUCUGGGGGGAGUAUGGUCGCAAGGCUGAAACUUAAAAGAAUUGACGGAAGAUCACCACCAGGAGUGGAACCUGCGGCUUAAUUUGACCCAACACGGGAAAGCUCACCAGGUCCGGAC
rnacentral:rRNA from 1 species